UGGGGAAUUUUGGGCAAUGGGCGAAAGCCUGACCCAGCAACGCCGCGUGAAGGAUGAAGUAUUUCGGUAUGUAAACUUCGUAAGAAUAGGAAGAAUAAAUGACGGUACUAUUUGUAAGGUCCGGCUAACUACGUGCCAGCAGCCGCGGUAAUACGUAGGGACCAAGCGUUGUUCGGAUUUACUGGGCGUAAAGGGCGCGUAGGCGGCAAUUCAAGUCAUCUGUGAAAUCUCCGGGCUUAACUCGGAACGGUCAGAUGAUACUGCUUUGCUAGAGUGCAGAAGGGGCAAUCGGAAUUCUUGGUGUAGCGGUGAAAUGCGUAGAUAUCAAGAGGAACACCUGAGGUGAAGACGGGUUGCUGGGCUGACACUGACGCUGAGGCGCGAAAGCCAGGGGAGCAAACGGGAUUAGAUACCCAAGUAGUCCCUGAGCGGGCUGGCAAGGCGCAU
rnacentral:rRNA from 1 species